GGUUAAGCGACUAAGCGUACACGGUGGAUGCCCUGGCAGUCAGAGGCGAUGAAGGACGUGCUAAUCUGCGAAAAGCGCCGGCGAGGUGAUAUGAACCUUUGACCCGGCGAUGUCCGAAUGGGGAAACCCAGUGCAAUUCGUUGCACUAUCGUUAACUGAAUACAUAGGUUAACGAGGCGAACCGGGGGAACUGAAACAUCUAAGUACCCCGAGGAAAAGAAAUCAACCGAGAUUCCCCCAGUAGCGGCGAGCGAACGGGGAGCAGCCCAGAGUCUGAAUCAGCUUGUGUGUUAGUGGAAGCGUCUGGAAAGUCGCACGGUACAGGGUGACAGUCCCGUACACGAAAGCACACAGGCUGUGAACUCGAAGAGUAGGGCGGGACACGUGGUAUCCUGUCUGAAUAUGGGGGGACCAUCCUCCAAGGCUAAAUACUCCUGACUGACCGAUAGUGAACCAGUACCGUGAGGGAAAGGCGAAAAGAACCCCGGCGAGGGGAGUGAAAAAGAACCUGAAACCGUGUACGUACAAGCAGUGGGAGCACCUUUGUGGUGUGACUGCGUACCUUUUGUAUAAUGGGUCAGCGACUUAUAUUCUGUAGCAAGGUUAACCGUAUAGGGGAGCCGAAGGGAAACCGAGUCUUAACUGGGCGUUAAGUUGCAGGGUAUAGACCCGAAACCCGGUGAUCUAGCCAUGGGCAGGUUGAAGGUUGGGUAACACUAACUGGAGGACCGAACCGACUAAUGUUGAAAAAUUAGCGGAUGACUUGUGGCUGGGGGUGAAAGGCCAAUCAAACCGGGAGAUAGCUGGUUCUCCCCGAAAGCUAUUUAGGUAGCGCCUCGUGAACUCAUCUUCGGGGGUAGAGCACUGUUUCGGCUAGGGGGCCAUCCCGGCUUACCAACCCGAUGCAAACUACGAAUACCGAAGAAUGUUAUCACGGGAGACACACGGCGGGUGCUAACGUCCGUCGUGAAGAGGGAAACAACCCAGACCGCCAGCUAAGGUCCCAAAGUCAUGGUUAAGUGGGAAACGAUGUGGGAAGGCACAGACAGCCAGGAUGUUGGCUUAGAAGCAGCCAUCAUUUAAAGAAAGCGUAAUAGCUCACUGGUCGAGUCGGCCUGCGCGGAAGAUGUAACGGGGCUAAACCAUGCACCGAAGCUGCGGCAGCGACGCUUAUGCGUUGUUGGGUAGGGGAGCGUUCUGUAAGCCGUUGAAGGUGUGCUGUGAGGCAUGCUGGAGGUAUCAGAAGUGCGAAUGCUGACAUAAGUAACGAUAAAGCGGGUGAAAAGCCCGCUCGCCGGAAGACCAAGGGUUCCUGUCCAACGUUAAUCGGGGCAGGGUGAGUCGACCCCUAAGGCGAGGCCGAAAGGCGUAGUCGAUGGGAAACAGGUUAAUAUUCCUGUACUUGGUGUUACUGCGAAGGGGGGACGGAGAAGGCUAUGUUAGCCGGGCGACGGUUGUCCCGGUUUAAGCAUGUAGGCGGAGGUUCCAGGUAAAUCCGGUACCUUAUUAACGCUGAGGUGUGAUGACGAGGCACUACGGUGCUGAAGUAACAAAUGCCCUGCUUCCAGGAAAAGCCUCUAAGCAUCAGGUAACACGAAAUCGUACCCCAAACCGACACAGGUGGUCAGGUAGAGAAUACCAAGGCGCUUGAGAGAACUCGGGUGAAGGAACUAGGCAAAAUGGUGCCGUAACUUCGGGAGAAGGCACGCUGAUAUGUAGGUGAAGCCCCUGCGGGUGGAGCUGAAAUCAGUCGAAGAUACCAGCUGGCUGCAACUGUUUAUUAAAAACACAGCACUGUGCAAACACGAAAGUGGACGUAUACGGUGUGACGCCUGCCCGGUGCCGGAAGGUUAAUUGAUGGGGUUAGCGGUAACGCGAAGCUCUUGAUCGAAGCCCCGGUAAACGGCGGCCGUAACUAUAACGGUCCUAAGGUAGCGAAAUUCCUUGUCGGGUAAGUUCCGACCUGCACGAAUGGCGUAAUGAUGGCCAGGCUGUCUCCACCCGAGACUCAGUGAAAUUGAACUCGCUGUGAAGAUGCAGUGUACCCGCGGCAAGACGGAAAGACCCCGUGAACCUUUACUAUAGCUUGACACUGAACACUGGUCCUUGAUGUGUAGGAUAGGUGGGAGGCUUUGAAGCGUGGACGCCAGUCUGCGUGGAGCCGACCUUGAAAUACCACCCUUUAAUGGCUGGUGUUCUAACGUAGACCCGUAAUCCGGGUUGCGGACAGUGUCUGGUGGGUAGUUUGACUGGGGCGGUCUCCUCCCAAAGAGUAACGGAGGAGCACGAAGGUUAGCUAAUCCUGGUCGGACAUCAGGAGGUUAGUGCAAUGGCAUAAGCUAGCUUGACUGCGAGAGUGACGGCUCGAGCAGGUGCGAAAGCAGGUCAUAGUGAUCCGGUGGUUCUGAAUGGAAGGGCCAUCGCUCAACGGAUAAAAGGUACUCCGGGGAUAACAGGCUGAUACCGCCCAAGAGUUCAUAUCGACGGCGGUGUUUGGCACCUCGAUGUCGGCUCAUCACAUCCUGGGGCUGAAGUAGGUCCCAAGGGUAUGGCUGUUCGCCAUUUAAAGUGGUACGCGAGCUGGGUUUAGAACGUCGUGAGACAGUUCGGUCCCUAUCUGCCGUGGGCGCUGGAGAAUUGAGGGGGGCUGCUCCUAGUACGAGAGGACCGGAGUGGACGCAUCACUGGUGUUCGGGUUGUCAUGCCAAUGGCACUGCCCGGUAGCUAAAUGCGGAAAAGAUAAGUGCUGAAAGCAUCUAAGCACGAAACUUGCCCCGAGAUGAGUUCUCCCUGACCCUUUAAGGGUCCUGAAGGAACGUUGAAGACUACGACGUUGAUAGGUCGGGUGUGUAAGCGCAGCGAUGCGUUGAGCUAACCGAUACUAAUGAACCGUGAGGCUUAACCUU
rnacentral:rRNA from 1 species